ACGCUCCCCCGUGACUCCCGCAGGGCUCCGCAUCGCGGCCGGUGGUGACUCCCCAUCUCUCUCCCAGGGCCUGAUCCGGAGCUGGGAGGCGUCCCCAGGACCCUGUCCUGAGCCCGCGUCAGGGCUCUGAGCGGCAGGAGGGAUCCUGGGCCCAUCCGGUGCCAAAGAUGUUCCCGCAGAACCGGCCCCCGGCCCAUCUCCAGGCACCCUCUGCUGCCUCAGGAGCCGCUGUUGCUGCCAGUGCCAUCCCCAGCACCCCCCAGUCCCUCAAGCUGACUUAUCCGGAGACCCUGGACCGCAUCAAGGAGGAAUUCCAGUUCCUGCAGAAUCAAUACCACAGCUUGAAGUUAGAAUGUGAAAAGCUGGCAACAGAAAAAACAGAAAUCCAGCGUCAUUAUGUCAUGUACUACGAGAUGUCCUACGGCCUGAACAUCGAGAUGCACAAACAGACGGAGAUCGCCAAGCGGCUCAAUGUGAUCUGCGCCCAGCUCAUCCCGUUCCUGUCUCAGGAGCACCAGCAGCAGGUGGUCCAGGCCGUGGAGCGUGCGAAGCAGGUGACUAUGACCGACCUGAACGCGGCGAUCGGGCACCAGCUCCAGACCCAGCAUCUCUCGCACCACGCUCCCCCCAUCCCACUGACCCCCCACCCCUCUGGGAUGCAGCCCACUGGCCUCGCGGGCAUCGGCAGCGCCUCGGGGCUGCUGGCGCUCUCAGGGGCGCUGGGGGCCCAGGCCCAGCUCCUCGCCAAAGACGACCGAGGGGUCCAUGACACUGAGCCCAGGGAGCGAGACCCUGGCCCCAGCUCCCUGGUGCUGCCCAACGGGGAGCGGGCACGAGCCAUCUCCGAGUACCUGAGCAGCAGCAAGAAGAGAAAGGUGGAGGAGAAGGACUUCAUCACAGACUAUGGCAGUGACGCGGACAAAAGCGAAGACAACUUGGUGGUGGAUGAGGACCCCUCUUCCCCGCACAGCGUCCACUCCUACUCGUCCCGGGAGAACGGGGUGGAGAAAGUCCCACUGGGGAGGAAAGAGGCCGUACCACUCAGCCCGACCUCCAUGGCCUCCUCCAGCAGCACGUCCCCUUCUCGGAGCAAGGAUGCACCCGUGGUGGAGAAGGCUGGGACGCCCAGCCUGAAGUCCAGCACCCCAACCUCCCAGGGGGACGCUGUGGCCCCAGGCUCCAGUGGUGCCCAGCAGUUCCGUCCCGCUGCCGCCAAGGCCCCUGUGGACCCGCUGGGUGAGCUUGGCCCCACUGGGGCGCAGGCGGGCAGCUCCAAAUGCCAGCCCUGCGAGGAUGGACCCUGCGCCCUGUCCCUUCAUGUCACCUCUCCCCCAGCAGCCCUGGGCCUGAGGAACCCGCUGGGAGUGCAGAGCCCCUACUCGGCUGCCUUCGGCAUGGCCCACCCCGCAGUCAACGGGGACAUGGCUGGCACUGGUGCCUACACCAGCCUCCACCUCAUGUCCCCGCAGCUCAACGGUGCUGCAGCUGCCGUGGGAGCCGGCAGCUACGGACGCUCGCCCCUGGUGGGCUAUGACCCGCACCCCCACAUGCGCGUCCCAGGGCUGGCGGCCAGCAUGCAAGUGGGGACGUCGGGGAAACCUGCCUACUCCUUCCACGUCAGCGCCGAUGGGCAGAUGCAGCCCGUGCCCUUCCCCCCCGACGCUCUCAUCGGCUCCGGCAUCCCCCGUCACGCACGGCAGCUCCACACCCUGACCCAUGGCGAGGUGGUCUGCGCCGUCACCAUCAGCAACUCCACGCGACACGUCUACACCGGGGGCAAGGGCUGCGUGAAGGUGUGGGACGUGGGGCAGCCGGGCACCAAGACGGCUGUGGCUCAGCUGGACUGUCUGAACCGCGACAACUACAUCCGCUCCUGCAAGCUGCUCCCCGACGGCCGCAGCCUGAUCGUGGGGGGGGAGGCCAGCACCCUCUCCAUCUGGGACCUGGCGGCCCCCACGCCCCGCAUCAAGGCCGAGCUCACCUCCUCGGCCCCUGCCUGCUAUGCCCUGGCCAUCAGCCCUGAUGCCAAAGUCUGCUUCUCCUGCUGCAGCGACGGCAACAUCGUGGUGUGGGACCUGCAGAACCAGACCCUGGUGAGUUUCAAGGCCACACAGAUGGUGCCAGCUGCAUCGACAUCUCUAACGAUGGCACCAAGCUGUGGACAGGGGGACUGGACAAUACUGUGCGGUGCUGGGACCUGCGGGAAGGCCGUCAGUUGCAGCAGCAUGACUUCAGCUCCCAGAUCUUCUCCCUGGGGUACUGCCCAACAGGAGAGUGGCUGGCGGUGGGCAUGGAGAGCAGCAACGUGGAGAUCCUGCACGUCACCAAACCAGACAAGUACCAGCUGCACCUCCAUGAGAGCUGUGUCCUCUCCCUCAAAUUCGCCUCCUGCGGGAAGUGGUUUGUAAGUACAGGGAAGGACAACCUGCUGAACGCCUGGCGGACACCCUAUGGAGCCAGCAUCUUCCAGUCAAAGGAAACCUCCUCCGUCCUCAGUUGCGAUGUCUCCACGGACGACCAGUUCAUUGUCACCGGCUCAGGGGACAAGAAAGCUACGGUUUACGAGGUCAUUUACUAAGGGCGAGAGGUGCCAACUGCAGGGAGGGCCCACACCACAUGGGCAGGUGGAUGCCCAUGGGGAUGGAGGGGUGGCUUCUACCUGCCAAAGACCAUACAGCCCGUGGCCGGGCGUCGGAGCCGGAGGAGAGGGGCCAGGGGUGGAGGUGGCCCUGGGCCUGUGGCCAGGCAUCACACUGGGCUGGGAGGUGGCGGCUGCUGCUCACAGUGGGGAUUUUCUCCCUUUUUUGUUCUUUAUUUGUUGGUUUGUUUCUAAAUCUGGACUGAGGGACU